UGGGGAAUAUUGCGCAAUGGGGGAAACCCUGACGCAGCAACGCCGCGUGAAGGAUGAAGGUUUUCGGAUUGUAAACUUCUUUGACGAGGGACGAAAAAAAUGACGGUACCUCGAAAACAAGCCACGGCUAACUACGUGCCAGCAGCCGCGGUAAUACGUAGGUGGCAAGCGUUGUCCGGAUUUACUGGGUGUAAAGGGCGAGUAGGCGGGAUUGCAAGUCAGAUGUGAAAUACCACGGCUUAACUGUGGGGCUGCAUUUGAAACUGUGAUUCUUGAGUGAUGGAGAGGCAGGCGGAAUUCCUAGUGUAGCGGUGAAAUGCGUAGAUAUUAGGAGGAACACCAGUGGCGAAGGCGGCCUGCUGGACAUUAACUGACGCUGAGGCGCGAAAGCGUGGGGAGCAAACAGG
rnacentral:rRNA from 2 species